rnacentral:rRNA from 1 species
AUGCUUUCACAACUUGACUUCAAGAUAUUUGGUUUGGAGACCAUCAAAGAUCAAUAUGUGCAUGAUGAUGAUUUUAAAGAUGUAUUGAAGAAUUGUAAAGAAGGGAGAACAUGGAACAAGUUCUUUGUUAAUGAUGGAUUUGUGUUUCGUGCUAACAAGCUAUGCAUUCCAGCUAGCUCUGUUCGUCUUUUGUUGUUGAAGGAGGCGCAUGGAGGAGGAUUGAUGGGACACUUUGGCGUGAAGAAGACGGAGGAUAUACUUGCUACACAUUUCUUUGGGCCAAAGAUGAGACAGGAUGUUGAGCGUUUUGUUGCUCGCUGCACUACAUGUCAAAAAGCUAAGUGA